ensembl:lncRNA
AUGCCCCGGUUCCCUCUGGCAACUCCCCGGCCGCCCGCCCGCCGUUGCCGUAGCAACGCCCGCCUCCGCGCUGGCUCUCCUCGCGCUUGCUUGCCAGCCCCGCCCUGCCCCAUACUGCGCAUGCUCGCCAGCCCCGCCCGGCCCACACUGCGCAUGCUUGCCUGCCACGCCCGGUCCACACCACAUUGCGCAUGCUCCCCGGCCUCCGCCCCGCGCCCGCCGUCAGCGUUGAGAGGCAGGCUUGCAGCAGGCGGUGCUGUUCACGCUCCUGAGCGGAGCCUUCCGGUGCUUUACUCGACGCCCCAAAUAGUGCGCUGUGCCUCCCAGGGACUGCCGCGAGCUGGAACUCUUCCCCGCCCCUGUGAGCUCGGGGCUGUUCUUUCUCCGGUUGGCUCACUCCAGCCUCGAUGUUUCCUCGCUGCCCAGACCUGCUCGGGAAGACUCGAGAAGGCCGCUCCAGGACUCCAGCUCUCCACGGAAGGGCUUCCCCUCGGAUUGCGUCUUGGCGCCUGGAACCCUCUCUCUGUAUCCUCUGCUGUUACUCUCUUGGCCUCCAUUUGGGUUGUGGCCUGGAAACUCCUGGCUCGCUGCUUCCCUUCUCUUAAGGAUCACAGCCCUGCACUGCCUGUCGUCCAAUGCCUGGAAACCAUUGUAUUUUGUGGUCUGAUUUUGUAGUAGUUUAAGAACUUAAAUCUGGUCCCUCACACUCCAUGACCAGAAGCAGAAAUCAGUAGAAGUUUGUUUUUUCUUAAAAUGACGAUUACUUUAUUGUGUUGGUUCAAUUUAUGUUGUACUUUAAUUAGAAGAAAUUUGGCUGAAAAUACAAAGAAAAUAUACAAAUGCAAGUAAUUUUUUUUUAAACUUCCCUGAAAGCAAGGUCUGAAGAAAUUACCAACCAACUUAGACUGGAUCUGGAAGAAAAGGAAGCAUCCUUGCAGUCUUAGGACUCUUCCAUUCCUCAACGUAGGUGUUAGGUUAACAGCCAUAAAUGGUUGUAAGACUUUGGGCUCAGAUAAGUAGACUUAAGUUCAAAUUUUGACUUAUUUUACAAGUAUCUGAUUUGUGGCAAGCUCAUCUUCCUAAACCAUGAGCUCCUUAUUUGUAAAGGGGACAUUAGCCACUCUCCAGCAACAGCCCUGGCGCUUCUUCAGUCCUGGGAUGGGUCGUAUGACUAGCCUAAGCAAACGAGACAAUCGAAGCCCCUGACCACAGCGACUUAAUCAGGGCUGGUGAUAUGUCUAGGUAGGCCAACCAGGUGGACUCAGUGUUUUUGUGGGUGCUACUGGAAAAUUUCUUCAAUUCGAACUGAAUGUGGAAAUGAGAACAGACAUGAAAUGGCGGCUGUGUUGCUGUCUUGUCAUCAUGAGGUGAGGGCCUGAAGCUAUGGUAGCCACCCUGUGUACCUUGGAAGGAGGAUUCUACAGGAACUGGCAGAGAUGAGACUGGGACGCAACCCAGUCCUGGUGACGUAUUUGAACCCUGAGGCUGGCCCGCUUGUUAGUCUUUUCACGUACUGGCUCCAGCCAGAGGGGUCUGGUUUUCUGUUACUUGCAACAGGAAGAAUUGGAAUGAUAACUAGGCAUGCUAUUACCGCCUUAUGGCUGUGGUGAGAUUAAAACAUGAUAUUGUGGGUGAACUGCUUAGUCCAGUGCCUGCUAUUCUUUAUAUUGGUUUUAAGGUAUUUUUCUUGAACUUCAUAAAGUUCUAAGAAAAAUUACCGUUUCAAAAUUCCUACCCUUUGUUCACAAGUUUUAAAUUUUCAUGAUAGUUUUCCUAUCUGCAUGUUUUCUAUUAAAAAUAAAUUGGUCAUUCUUCAGUUAGCUACAAAUAUUUUAAAUUUUUUAUUUUUAAAUUUAUUUUUUAUUGAUACAUAUUAGAAGAACGUGUUUUUGGAGUACAUGUGAUAAUUUGAUAAAUUCAUAUAAUCAAAUCAAGGUAAUUGUGAUAUCCAUCCCCUUAAAUAUUUACUGUCUAUUUACACUAGGAACAUUCAAGUUAUUCUAGCUAUUUUGAAAUGUGCAAUCGAUUUGUGUUAAGUAUAGGCUUGACGGAAAAUUUAACCUUAUUGCUUUCUAAUUCUUGACAAAAACAAAGCUAACAUAGUUGACAUUUGAAGAAUAAUACAUUCAUUCUUCUUCAAGAUGGUGUAUUCUGUCGAAAUGAGUUAGAUGAUCAGAAUGCAACAUUUUGGAUAGGGUUAAUUAAAAUAUAUAGUCAACCUGUCUUGUCCCCAAUACCGUGUCAUCAGUGAUUUAUAUUUUAACGUUAUGCCUUUGUUUUAAAAAGAUUUUUUUUGAGAUGGGCCUAAGAAACUGCAUGUAUACAAAGCAUGUUUGCAUCUUCAGAAAACUGCUAUUGAGUACAUUCCCCAUGGUGCUGUUCAUUGCCAUUUGUGUAGCCACCCACAUGAUUAUUUUAGAAUUUCAAAAUCAUUAAUUGAAUGUCCUAGGAAUAGUGGAGACGGAAGAGAAAAUUAGAGGUGCAUGAUGGUAAGGAUGACGAGGUUGUGCUUAGUCAUGAGGAGAAGGGUACCGGUGUGCUUGGCUGAUUAAGAUGCACUUCUGUACUCCACUGUGCUUAAGAAGAAAGCUGCAUGUGGUAACCGUAAGAGAUCUGUUGUAUAAACAUUGUCACAAAAAGAGUCAUGAGCAGCCCAAGAUGGAUGGCAAUAGUGGACUAUUUAAGUGGAAGACAUUGAUAUGAAGGGAAAGUCUUAUAUUUUGCUUGUGUAGAAGGCAAUUCAGACAAAGUGUUCAAAUACUAGAAUAGGCAGUUGGAGUCCAUCUUGUGGAGGUUGGGGUUUUUUUCAUGAUGACACUAGAGACACGUUAUUGGAGACUGGUGCUGGCACUGUAUGGAAUUUUUUUUUUUUUUUUUUUUUUUUUUUUGAGACAGCGUCUCUCUCUGUCGCCCAGGCUGGAGUGCAGUGGUGCCAUCUUGGCUCACUGCAACUUCUGCCUCCUAGGUUCAAGCAAUUCUCCUGUCUCAGCCUCCCGAGUAGCUGGGAUUAGAGGUGCCUGCCACCACGCUUGGCUAAUUUUUGUAUUUUUUAAUAGAGAUGGGGUUUCGCUAUAUUGGCCAGGCUGGUCUUGAACUUCUGACCUCAGGUGAUCCUCAUGCCUCGGCCUACCAAACUGCUGGGAUUACAGGCGUGAACCACCAUGCCCAGCCUAUGGAUUCUUAAUGUAUCACACCCAUGGGAUUUGAGUUUGCCCACCUGCCUAGUCUCUAAAUACUGCACUAAUGGAAGCCUAGGUAGGGUCAGAAUGGUUCUUAAUUCAAUAUCCUUCUCACAUUUUAAUAUCUUAAUGCUCUCACAUUUCUCCUUUGUUAUCUACUAAAUAUUCUCAAAACCUACUCAGUACAUAUUUGACUCUUGUCUUUCUUAACACAGUCGUUGACAUCUAAAACAAACCUAAGGAGCAAAAAUUGGUGGCAUGGGUUUCAUCUUUAAUUUAGCUUUCAAUUUUAACCUUCACCAAAAAUCAUCUCUCCUUCCAUUUAUUUAUCUUAAUCUUCAGUAUUACCUUUAACUUUCUACUCACACUUGUAUAUUUAUUACCAAUUUCUAUUCCUAAACUUGCUGAUGUGGUUUGGCUGUGUCACCACCCAAAUUUCACCUUGAAAUGUAGUAAUUAAUCCACAUGUGUCAAGGGCAGGGCCAGGUGGAGAGAAUUGGAUCAUGGGGACAGUUUCCCCCAUACUGUUCUUGUGAUAGUGAAUAAGUCUCACAAGAUCUGAUGGUUUUAUAAAUUGGAGUGGCCCUGCACAAGCUCUGUCUUGCCUGCUGCCAUGUAAGACCUGUCUUGCUUCCUGCUCGCUUUCCACAAUGAUUUUGAGACCUCACAGCCACGUGGAACUGUGAGUCAAUUAAACCUCUUUCCUUUACAAAUUACACAGUCCCGGGUGUGUCUUUAUUAGCAGCAUGAGAACAAACUAAUACACUUGUUUCCACUCAGAUUAUUUUUUCAAAGAAUUCUAAGUCACUUCCUGUUUUUUUUUUUUUUUUCUGUAUGUGAGGACCAGCAAUUGUUUGGAAAUUUGCCAGUCUCUCCUAGUGUUUUGUAGCAGCAGUUGCUGUAAAGUCUCAGGUAUACUAGUGGGAACUUACUGAAGUGUGUUUUUUCCUUGAGAUUAUAUUAUAGUUCUGUUUUGUCUUUAAUAAUGAAAAAGGGCUUAGGAUGAGUUGUUUCCACUCCUCUGACAAAGUGCAUUUAAAAAAAAUACUGUGACAGACAUAAGAUGAUUACGUCAUUCCUGUCAACAUUAAAAUAGUAGUAGAGAAACACUGAUGAAAACACUUCCGACCCUGGAGAAGAGAGGAGAAAUCUUGUUUUCAUUCUUACUCUAUAAUUUAAAGUCAUGGGUAUAACAAAUGAGCCUUUAAAAACUGUUUUCUGAAUUUAAAAAAUGGAGCAAAUUCAUUCUUUGUUGUUGAAUUCAAUAUACUUAGAAGCAAUUUAUCACUUUGGUAAAGAAUUAUGUCCUAUGCCUUAAUAUCUGACAUGAUGAAGAUAUUCAUGCUAUCUACACUGUGAUCACCAGAUACUAGCCACUUUAAAAAUGUUGCCAAAAGAAAUUAGGCAUACUGAUUGUAUCAAAGGUGUUUGGGUAAUGUGGACUCCUUUCAGACAUUUGUGAUUUUUCUGCCUUAACUGAAAGUUUUGACAGGUUUGUAAAAGCAUAAAUGUCAGGUUAUUAGUAGAAACUCUAAAAUAACCUAGGAAAUAAACAUAUAUACUGGUUUCAGCCAGUUUGGCUAAAGCUGGAUAUCUCUAAAAAUUGAAUCAGUUGAUGCUCUAAUAUGUUCAAUAUAUCAAGAGACAGGGUGUUUCCUGAUCACAUCUAGAUAAUUUUUUUUUUAAUUUAUUUAUUAUUAUUAUACUUUAAGUUGUAGGGUACAUGUGCAUAACGUGCAGGUUUGUUACAUAUGUAUACUUGUGCCAUGUUGGUGUGCUGCACCCAUCAACUCAUCAUUUACAUCAGGUAUAACUCCCAAUGCAAUCCCUCCCCCCUCCCCCCUCCCUAUGAUAGGCCCCGGUGUGUGAUGUUCCCCUUCCUGAGUCCAAGUGAUCUCAUUGUUCAGUUCCCACCUAUGAGUGAGAACAUGCGGUGUUUGGUUUUCUGUUCUUGUGAUAGUUUGCUAAGAAUGAUGGUUUCCAGCUGCAUCCAUGUCCCUACAAAGGACACAAACUCAUCCUUUUUUAUGGCUGCAUAGUAUUCCAUGGUGUAUAUGUGCCACAUUUUCUUAAUCCAAUCUGUCACUGAUGGACAUUUGGGUUGAUUCCAAGUCUUUGCUAUUGUGAAUAGUGCUGCAAUAAACAUACGUGUGCAUGUGUCUUUAUAGCAGCAUAAUUUAUAAUCCUUUGGGUAUAUCCCCAGUAAUGGGAUGGCUGGGUCAUAUGGUACAUCUAGUUCUAGAUCCUUGAGGAAUCGCCAUACUGUUUUCCAUAAUGAUUGAACUAGUUUACAAUCCCACCAACAGUGUAAAAGCGUUCCUAUUUCUCCACAUCCUCUCCAGCACCUGUUGUUUCCUG